CGAAAGUUUUAUUUUGGCUUAUUUUUUGCUUAAUCUUUUAUUUUUAUGUAAGUUUUAGCGGUUUUAUUUAAAUAAGUUUUAAUUUGCAGUAUUUAAUUUUAAGUUUUUAGUCACCUAAGACUUAGGAAUAGAUUAUUACUCUGACUUAAUUUGUGCCAGCAGUCGCGGUUAGACAAAUAGAGUUUGUGAAAGUUUUUGGUUUGCAGUUAAUUGUUCUUGUAAAAUUAAAUUUGAAAUUAUUAAGUGAAAUUUUAAUUUUGAUUUUAAUUUUUUUUUAAUGAAGCUGUUAGAUUUUUUUUUAAACUAGGAUUAGAUACCCUAUUAUUUUAAAUGUAAAGUUUACCACCAGGUUAGUAAUAGUUAUUUUCUUGAAAACAAAAGAAUUUGGCGGUAUUUUAGUCUUCUCAGAGGAAUCUGUCCUGUAAUUGAUAAUCCACGAUUAUACCUACUUGUUUUUGGUUUGUAUAUCGUCGUGGUUGAUUAUUUUAUAAGAAUUGUUAAUGGUCAUGAAUCUAAAUAAAGAAGGAAGUCAGAUCAAGAUGCAGCUUAAAUAAGGAGAGAUGGAUUACAAUAAACUUAUUUAUAUGGUUAGGAUUUUUUAAAGAUUUUAUAAAGUGGAUUUGAAAGUAAUUUUUAAUUAUUUUUUAAAGAUGAUUUAGCUCUAAAAUAUGCACAUAUCGCCCGUCGCUUCCAUAAUAUGGAAUAAGUCGUAACAAAGUAGGUGUACUGGAAAGUGUAUCUAGAAAGAU